rnacentral:rRNA from 1 species
AGAGUUUGAUCCUGGCUCAGGAUGAACGCUGGCGGCGUGCCUAAGACAUGCAAGUCGAGUGGGUUUAGACCCACGGCGAACGGGUGAGUAAUACAUAGGUACUUUCUUCAAGUUAAGAAUAUCCCACCGAAAGGUGGUGCAAUACUUAAUGUGAUCGUAAGAUUAAAGCCGCAAGGCGCUUGAAGUGAGGCCUGUGCCCCAUCAGCUAGUUGGUAAGGUAAUGGCUUACCAAGGCUACGACGGGUAGCGGGUCCGAGAGGAUGAUCCGCCACACUGGGACUGCGACACGGCCCAGACUCCUACGGGAGGCAGCAGUUUGGAAUUUUGGUCAAUGGGGGAAACCCUGAACCAGCGACGCCGCGUGGACGAAGAAGGCCUUCGGGUUGUAAAGUCCUUUUAGUAGGGAAAAAUUUUGAUUGUACCUACAGAAUAAGAGGUUGCUAACUCUGUGCCAGCAGCAGCGGUAAUACAGAGACCUCGAGCGUUAUCCGGAAUCAUUGGGCGUAAAGCGUACCGAUAGGUGGUUUUGAAAGUCAGAGGUGAAAUUCCGAAGCUUAACUUCGGAACUGUCCUUUGAAACUUCAAGACUAGAGGGGCAAAGAGGAAGCUGGAACAAACGGUGUAGUAGUGAAAUGCGUUGAUAUCGUUUGGAACACCAAUAGCGUAGGCAGGCUUCUGGGUGCCACCUGACACUGCUAGGACGAAAGCGUGGGGAGCGAAUGGGAUUAGAUACCCCAGUAGUCCACGCUGUAAACGAUGAUAAUUAGGCGCUAGAGAGUAUCGACCCUCAUUAGUGCCGUAGCUAACGCGUUAAAUUAUCCGCCUGGGGAGUACGGCCGCAAGGCUAAAACUCAAAGGAAUUGACGGGGACCCGCACAAGCGGUGGAGCAUGUGGUUUAAUUCGACGGUAAGCGAGGAACCUUACCA